ensembl:lncRNA PURPL p53 upregulated regulator of p53 levels
GAAUCAAUGUGUGAGGUGGUGCUAUGUAGCAGGAACCCCUCUUGCUUUGCAAAUAGUUUUUUGUUUGUUUUCCUUUUUGCCCAAUAGAGCCCUGCUCUACUGACCCUUCAAUGUGCCCGUGUGCCUAAAUAUUCCUGGUCGUGUGAAAAGAACCCAGGUAUUAGCUGAACUAAGGAGCACAAUUCUGCAACAUUUUGGCACCCAAACACGGGGCUUGAGAAAUGAAUGCAAUUGGAGAAACUGGUUGUUUUACCAGGCGUUGAUUGGAAAUGUGUGCUUCCCUUUAAGCAGUCAAGCUCAACUUGCAGAACUGAUGGGAACCCCUUGGGAAAACUGGCCUCAAAUGUUUGUCUACACAGUCCACAUACAGGGUUCUUAACCUGCGGAAACACUUUCUGAAAAUGUCAGAACUCUUGAAAACAUGGAUGAGGAAAAGCAUAAGUACUGCUUUAUGCUUUUCUUAUGAAUUUUAAAAGAUGUAAUUUAAAGAUUGAAACUCCCACAACUUUGGCAGACCAACUCCUCAGAAAACAUUAUUCUUUGACAUCAAUAUGUUUUGCACAAAAUUGAAUGGCAAGUGAAAGGCAUCAAAUGAGCAAAAUUGCCUCUUAAAAAAGGACAUUGCACCCAGCAUGGUGGCUCAUGCCUGUAAUCCCACAACUUUGGGAAAUUGCGCCAGUGCACUCCAGUCUGGGAGACAGAGCGAGACUCCAUCUAAAAAAAAAAAAAAAAAAAAAGUACAUUGCUGAUUCCAUUUCAGCAUCACUCAAUUACCAUUCUCUAACUGUCUCUGAUUUGUCUUUACCAAAAGCCACAUCUGGCAUAAUUGGCAAAAGACUUUUUUUUUUUCCCCACCAUUCCAAUGAACACAAAAAUGACAUUCUCAACAUCAAAUCAAAUGAUCACAUUUUUAUUCAUAUUUUACUCCAACUGAAAUGAAGGAUAUAACUAAUUUGUCCAUUUUUCUUUAAGCACAUAUCUGUAUUCAUUUUGAUAACCCAGCACUCUUGAUUGUUCCCUUACUGAAUGUUUGUCUCUUAGUAUCCUUUGCCCAUUCUACUCCUUUAAAAAAACUGUUGCAGUAACCAAAGAGUUAUUUUUGAUUCCACUUCUUUGUCAAACUAAAGUCAGCUCUUUGAGGCUUCUGGAUUUUGAUAUUAAAUAUGUGUUUAGCAGUUCAAAUUUUAUAUAUGUAUAUUCUAGCUCAGAUCCAGAAAUCUAUUUCCUUCUUAUCAUUCUCACUUGGAUUCCUCAAGCAAUUUAACAUGCUCUAAAUAUUUCUUCCAUGUUUAUUUAGGUUUCAACUCUACAUACAGAAUAGACUAAUUUAAUAAUUUUAUACAAUCCUUGGCCUUUUACUUUAUAUGAUCUUCUACAUCCAAUAGAAGGUUGUUCAGUUAAACCUUAAAAACCUAUCGCACACUUUUUAAUUCUCUGAAUUUUCAUCAACACCACGGUAGAAACCUCCUCAAUACAGAGUUUUGUAAUAAUUGCUCUUUAAAUUCCCACCAUGAUAUGUUACUAUAUAUUCUGCUCAGAAUGAAAAGGUUCACUAUAAAACAUGGUUUAAAAAAACAAACAUUGAUUUCUCUGCUUCAGGAGUUUCCUUUCCUAUGGUAGAUGAAACUAGGUACAAUAAUUUGUUGUUUGUUUUGGAGAGCUGUCAAGGCAUGCUCCAUGGCCUCUGAAACUAGGUAGAUUGUAUCACAUACACUCCAGACCAACAUACUUGCUACUUUCUGAUUUGAUUGGAUUAACACGAUGUCAACAAUAUAGUGGAACAAUGUGAUAUUCUUGUCAGGUACAGUCUCUUUGGACUAUGUCAGACAAAUGGCAUGAGAGUUAACAUAGUCCUCGAGCUAAUUCAUAAAUGUAUAUUGUUACCAUUUUACAUAAAUGUAAUCGUUGAUGCCCUUAUUUUCUCAGAGGGGUGGGGGAAAAUUGCUAUUCCCACAUUAAUGUCUGUAUGUUAGUGAAUCUGAGUGAGUGCCAAUCUACUUGAGCAAAUAAACAUCUGGAAUAGCAGCUGUAA